CUUUGUUUUUGCUUGAAUGACCCUUACCUCAAAUAUACAUAGAUGCAUCUUCACCAUUCCUUAGGUUUUAUUCCAGUCCCAUCUGACCCUAAUAUAUUUAUAUCUCUCCCUCAGCCUGAUUUAAAAUCUAUCCAGCCCCAGACUUGCAAGCAACACAGAGGUCCAUCAACUGUUCUACUGCCAUAUGCAACAAGUAGCUUUCAGGCU